GGGCCCGCACAAGCGGUGGAACAUGUGGUUUAAUUCGAUGCUACGCGAGGAACCUUACCUGGGUUUGACAUGCAAGAAGUAGAAACCUGAAAGGGGGACGACCGGUAUCCAAUCCGGAACUUGCACAGGUGCUGCAUGGUUGUCGUCAGCUCGUGCCGUGAGGUGUCGCCUUAAGUGGCUUAACGAGCGCAACCCUCAUUGUUAGUUGCCAGCUUGCUAUAUGCAAGCGCACUCUAGCGAGACUGCCCGUGUUAAACGGGAGGAAGGUGGGGAUGACGUCAAAUCAGCAUGGCCCUUAUGUCCAGGGCUACACACGUGUUACAAUGCCGUAUACAAAGGGAGGCCAAGCCGCGAGGCGGAGCAAAUCCCUAAAAGUACGGCCCAGUUCGGAUUGCAGGCUGCAAUUCGCCUGCAUGAAGUUGGAAUCGCUAGUAAUGGCGCAUCAGCAACGGCGCCGUGAAUACGUUCCCGGGCCUU
rnacentral:rRNA from 1 species